CGAUAUGUUUUAUUUGUCGGACCACUGAGAACCUUUGGAUAUGUGUUAUAUGUGGUUUUGUUAGCUGUAGAAGAUAUAAAGCAGGACAUGCCAUCAUGCACUGGAAAGAGACACAGCAUUGCUAUGCCCUAGAUGUGGAAACUAAGCAUGUCUGGGAUUUUGUGGGAGACAACUAUGUUCAUAGACUUAUUCAGUCCAAAACUGAUGGAAAGUUGGUUGAGCUGAACACUCACUGUGUUCAUGUAGAGAAUGGAUGUGGAAGUUGUAGUUGUGAAGAUAAUUCUAUGAGCGAGGCGUUACUUAAUAGUAAAGUUGAAGCUGUAAUGUUGCAAAACUAGUCAAAUUAUUUUUCUGAAAUCUUGGCUUCUGUAAGUUUAAUUUUAUUUUUUACAUUAGCAAAUUGUCAAUACGUACAAUGAAUUGCUUGC